GUCACACCUGUACCUUAACUGUACAUUCUGGGCUUAGUAGGUUGAUUCACUCAAGUACUUUGAAAACUAUUAAAGAUCUCUGAACUGAGUCACUGGCUGCUGGUACAAUCAGGACAGAAGUUGUCACUGAUGGAUUCCAGAAGGAGUCUCUGUCACCAUGAAGAAAAGAACAUGCCUGGGUUGCCCACAGGAACCAGGAGAAGGAUGGGAGACAGGUGAACAGACAGAGGCUCCCUGACCAAGUCCAGCCUAGAUGUCAAGACAGCUGCAGACAUGGCACCUCUGUCAUAGGAUCCCCACUGCCAAUGGGUCUGUGAAAGAAGAGGCAGUUCUUACAUCCCACAUAUAUACAGAUGAUUCCAGAAGCAGAAUGAAGGUGACUCAGCACUUUACAAUCAUUUGCUGGAAGUGAUUCUAACAGAGGUCGUGUGUCCAACAGAGGAAUAGGAGGGGGCAUCAACGAUACAGCAGAUGAUUUCCUGUUUGGGGUAAACAACGCUAACCUGGGCAACUUUCUAAGUGGAAUCAACCACAGGUGCCCUCGGCAGUCUCUCUUCCAGGCAGAACGGACAUACCAGAUGACUCAUCUGAAAGUUUACAAGCAGAAUUUCUUCAAACAUUCCUUGCCGUCAUGCCUGAAAAUUAGCAUUUUUAUAGUCUCUUAUUUCAUGGACACCAAAACUGGAGGUAUUGUUUUCGCAAGAAAAAAGCAAACUAUUUUUAGCUUGCAGAGGG
ensembl:lncRNA